rnacentral:rRNA from 1 species
UACGUAGGGUGCGAGCGUUAAUCGGAAUUACUGGGCGUAAAGCGUGCGUAGGCGGUUUGCCGUGUCCUGUGUGAAAGCCCCGGGCUCAACCUGGGAAUUGUAUGGGAAACUGGCAGGCUUGAGUGUGGCAGAGGAGGGUGGAAUUCCGCGUGUAGCAGUGAAAUGCGUAGAGAUGCGGAGGAACACCGAUGGCGAAGGCAGCCCUCUGGGCCAACACUGACGCUCAGGCACGAAAGCGUGGGGAGCAAACAGG